GCUAUCUCUUACCCAUGUCUUUUGAGUACCUUCGUUUCCUCGGCGGGUCCGCCCGCCGAUUGGACACAUUUAAACCCUUUGUAGUUGCAAUCAGCGUCUGAAAAACUUUAAUAGUUACAACUUUCAACAACGGAUCUCUUGGUUCUGGCAUCGAUGAAGAACGCAGCGAAAUGCGAUAAGUAGUGUGAAUUGCAGAAUUCAGUGAAUCAUCGAAUCUUUGAACGCACAUUGCGCCCCUUGGUAUUCCAUGGGGCAUGCCUGUUCGAGCGUCAUUUGUACCUUCAAGCUUUGCUUGGUGUUGGGUGUUUGUCUCGCCUCUGCGCGCAGACUCGCCUCAAAACAAUUGGCAGCCGGCGUAUUGAUUUCGGAGCGCAGUACAUCUCGCGCUUUGCACUCAUAACGACGACGUCCAAAAAGUACAUUUUUUACACUCUUGACCUCGGAUCAGGUAGGGAUACCCGCUGAACUUAAGCAUAU
rnacentral:rRNA from 1 species